GGGGUAGCUGGUGUUCCUGGACUCCCAGGUCUGAAAGGUCCCAAAGGCAGAGGAGGAAUUUCUGGAUUUCCAGGUAUCCCAGGGGAGCCUGGUCAUUCCUGUGAGAGAGGUGCACCAGGAAUCCCAGGCCAACCAGGACUCCCUGGGGCUCCAGGUAGUCCAGGUAAGUGUCAGCAGGUGUUGAGAAAACCUAGGGGGUCUGUGGUUUACCCUACUUAAAAUAAUAUCUGUUCUUUUGAUCUCUUAUGGAUCUUGGCAGAAACAUGAGUCUCAAAUCAAAGACAAAACACUUUAUUAUUCCUGAGUUUCAUGUUGGUUUAUGUCAUUGCCCCGUGUCACCCAAGUCCCAUGGUACAGUGUAUGGGGGGCUGCAUUCACAGUGGGUUGCAUUAAAUGAGGGAGAUGCUGAGCCUAGGAACCACAACUCUGUAGCAGCCUUCCAGCAAGCCUGCUUUAUGUCUUGGGGGAGCCAUACCAUCUGUCACGGUUGCUCUCUGCAAACACAAUCUUAAGAAAUAGCCCAGGUAAACAGUAUCAGGACCUUGCAUUCUUGCCAUCCCCAGCAAGACAUAAAGAGUGCAAGAGACCUAUGAAGGACUGUCUCCCAAUACAGAUGCUAAGGGGCUGCUGUAGGGAAAUUAAAGAAAAUUUAUUUCUUAUAGUUCAGAAAACUGGAAAGUUCAAGGACAAGGCACCAGGGGUUUGAGGAUCUGUUCCUCAGAGGUGGCAACUUCUGUGCAUGCUUGCAUGAAGGAGAGCUCCCUCAUACCUCUUUUUUUUAAACAAUUUUUUUUAAAUUUGUAGAUGGACAUAAUUCCUUUAUUUGUUUAUUUAUUUUUAUGUGGUGGUGAGGAUCGAAUCCAAUCCUUCACACAUAUGAGGCAAGCACUCACCCCAGACCCCUUAUAUCUCUUUUACAAGAUCACUAAUCUUAGUCAUGAGGACUCUAUCCUCAUGACAUUCACCUUCUAAAAUCCCUACCUUUCAAUACUAUCCCACUGGCAGUUAAACUUUAACAUGGAUUUUGGAGAACUCAUUCAGACAUAACAGGGGCUAUUUCUAAUAUGAUACUCAUUUCAUUAUUCAGAUUGUUGGUUCUAUUAUUGCAGCCUAUUAUUGCUUUUGUCCAAAUGCAAGAUGUGCCCACUUGAAAAAUCUAAACAAGCUUGAGGCAAAACCUGCCACUACAGCCUUAUCUCUAAUGCCAGUAAUGCUAGAUGGUGCUGCUCCGAUUUCUACAAUUCUCUCACUACAGCCAGCAGCCAGCCUGGAGUUCACUUGGCCAGAGCUUCAAGAAGCAUCUGAAAAGUUUUCUUCUAGCAAUUUUGUUCUAGUAGUUUUUCUCCUUUAAAAGCACAUACAAAUAAAAUUUUGUUUUUAAUGCCUAGCCAUUUUCAAUUAAUUUUUUUUUUGUAAUCUUCACACAUCCCUCCUGGGAAAUAUUUAUUCACAUUAUCUCCCCUUCUUUUUGUAGCAUCCAGAAAAGCAUAUUCUUAGAUGGAUCAGAAGUUGCUCCAUUGUUUUAGUUAAUAUUGUUUAGAUUUUAUUUCAUGGGACACAGCUAAAUAAUUUGGGUGGUGGGUACCGGGGUUUGAACUCAUGGGUACUCAACCACUGAGCCACAUCCCCAGCUCUAUUUUGUAUUUUAUUUAGAGACAGGGUCUCACUGAGUUGCUUAGUGCCUCACUUUUGCUGAGGCUGGCUUUGAACUCAUGAUCCUCCUGUCUCAACCUCCCAAACUGGUGGGAUUACAGGCGUGAGCCAGGGCGCCUGGCCCACAGAUACAUAAUUUAAGCUUCUAUGAGUAUGGAUUUGCUGUACAUGUGUGAAGGCAGCUUUCCAUUCACCCCUUGUCUUCACUGUGGUUUGUCUCAGGUGCCCCAGGUUGGAAAGGGCAGCAAGGAGAUAUGGGGCCUCCUGGGCCAGCUGGAAUGAAGGGCCUCCCUGGGCUCCCAGGAUUGCCAGGGGCAGGUGGACUCCCAGGACCUCCAGGAAUCCCAGGACCCUUUGGGGAAGAUGGGCUGCCUGGUCUUCCAGGCCCAAAG
rnacentral:lncRNA from 1 species